AUGGGGCAGAAAGGUACAGGUAGGAGGGGUAGAAUAGGUACAGGUAGCUGGGGCAGAAUAGGUACAGGUAGCUGGGGCAGAAUAGGUACAGGUAGCAGGGGCAGAAAAGGUACAGGUAGCAGGGGUUGUGGUGCAGGUAGCAGGGGUAGAAUAGGUACAGGUAGCAGGGGUUGUGGUGCAGGUAGAUGGGGUAGAAUAGGUACAGGUAGCAGGGGUUGUGGUGCAGGUAGCUGGGGUAGAAUAGGUACAGGUAGCUGGGGUAGAAUAGGUACAGGUAGCUGGGGUAGAAUAGGUACAGGUAGCUGGGGUAGAAUAGGUACAGGUAGCAGGGGUAGAAUAGGUACAGGUAGCAGGGGUAGAAUAGGUACAGGUAGAAAGGGGUUGUGGUGCAGGUAGCAGG
rnacentral:lncRNA from 1 species